rnacentral:lncRNA from 1 species
AGAGACUCUAUAGUAAUAAAAUAAAGUAAAAUAAAAUAAAAUAAAUAAUCUAAUCUUUGCUUAAAUUUGUACAUGACCCCUUUCAUAAUAAUAAUAAUAAUAUUUUGGCAUUUAACGCAUAAGUUAAUUAUUUAAACAGUGAAAGUCUUACUGUUUUAAAAUAUUGUCUUAAGACCCAUCUUGUUUAUGCUUUUUAUGUGAUUGUUUGUAUUUGGUCUGUUAGGGUGUAAUAAUAAUUAUUGUGUAAUGUUGAUUGUUUUGUUGUAAGGUGUCCUUGAGUGUCAUGUCAGGUGCCUAUAAAUAACAUGAAAUAAAUUUUACACAGAGGUCAAGUUCAUUAUUUACGUUUGACAUUUCAUGUAACGGACCUCAAACUGUGCUCAACAACUGUAAGCGGUAAGCGUAGCGGUACCUUUAAGAAAAUUGGACCGAUGUAUUUUGAAAACGGGGGAGAACAGUUCAUUUAGUUGUGAAAAGUCGUGUGCAAAGAGUGUAUAUACUGAAUAGUUGAUCUAUUUAUUAUGCAGCUACUCAAUUAUUUCCUAUACUGUAAAACUGAACAUUAGCUAAUGAUAUUAAGGGGACAUGAUAAAACCUGUUUGACCGAUCCCCCCUCUUUCCCACAAAAGUCUAUUCUUGAUCUAAGGCUCAUGAUGCAGUGGGAUUCAAUAAGCUGGUAGGUGCUGCCCAACUCAAGGUUUUCGGCUCCAGUCGACAGCGAAUGAGCACGGAAAUAUACCGCAGCAUCCUCACUCAUUUGAAGUGUUUACGUGCAGAUCAUAAAGGCAUCAGCCCCACUGAUAACCUGCAGCAGCUGGAGGACAAGGACAGCUCGGACAGCAGCUCAGAGCCCGUUAAAACCUGAGCCAUACAAAGAUUCUCAGCCUUGGCCAGGAACAAAGGAGCAGCGACAAGGCUUUUCCCCACAAUCCUCUGGUGCUGCCUCCCAGCUUGCUGAGCCUGACGAGUGUGCUGACACUUACUGGAGCUGAGUGCUCUCUUUUUCCUGCCGUGCGGGUCUGGCUACGUGGAGGAAGCAGGGGCUUAUUAAUGAGCUGCGAGUAUGAGGCCUCACUGCUGACAGCCAGUGGAGAUAGAAUUAAUAGUCCGGUCAUCUGGCUUGAUGUGUGUGUCUCCAGGCUGCCCCUUGACGAGAGUCCACUGCGGAAUCCACCACGGCGG